GGCUGAAGAAGAUGCAGAGCAGCCUAAAGUUGGUGGACUGUAUCAUCGAGGUCCAUGAUGCCCGGAUAUCCUUUAGUGGUUGUAAUACUGUGGUUUAUGAUAAGAAAUCUAUAUAUGCACACAUGUAGGUAUAUGUUGUAUAUGUGUGUAUAUAUGUGUGUGUGUAUGUAUACACGUGUGUGUGUGCAUAUGUGUGUGUGUGUGUACACACACACACACACACACACACAUAUAUAUUUGGGCUUUGUCCCUGUUUCUGGCACAGAGCUCCUAAAAUCCUGGGCAUUUUUUUGUAAGUUUAUUUAUUUUUGAGAGAGAGAGAGGGAGAGAGCGAGAACACUGACAGCAGAGAGCCCGGCGCAGGGCUUGAACCCAUGAACUGUGAGAUCAUGACCGAGAUCAUGACCUGAGCUGAAGUCUGACGCCAACUGAGCCACCCAGGCCCCACAAACCCUGGGUAUUUCUUAAGUGAUGAGAGUGGUAAAAAAGUGUCUGUUGUUAGGUGACUUUUGGAAAGCCACUAAGUCACCUAAGUUCCAGGGCUGGUUGCCAGGGGAGGUGAGAGUGGCUGGAAGUUGGGUGGAUUGCCAAUGGCCACUGAUUUCAUUAAUCAGGCCUAUAUAGUGAAACCUCAAGAAAAGCCUAAAAGGACAGGGUUCAGAGAGCUUUUGGGUUGGCAAACACGUGGAUACAGAGGGAGAGUGACACAUUCAGAGCACGGGAGCUGUGUGCCCCACUCCCUCAUACGUCGCCUUAUUCAUUUCUUCUGUCUGACUUCCUGAGUUACAUCCUUUUAUAAUAAGCCAGUAAUCUAGUAAGUAAGAUGUUUCUCCGAGGGCUGUGGGCUGCUCUAGCAAGCUAAUUGGCUCUGAGGAGGGGCUUGUGGGAACCUCCCAUCUGUAACAAGUUGGUCAGAGGCACCGGUGACCAGCUGGACUCGGGAUUGGCACCUGGAGGGAGUGGGGUGGGGAGGUGGCACAUUGUGGGACUGAGCAUUAACCUGUGGGGUCUGACUCUUCCUCCAGGUAGAUAGUGUCAGAGUUGAGUUAACUUGUAGGAUGUCCUGGUAGUGUCGCAGAAUUGCUUGGUGUUGUCCUCCUCCCCCACCCCCAACUUUACUGGAAUUGGGUGUGGAAUUGCAGUGGUACAGGAGAGGCCCUCCUUCCUGAAUCAGGCUGUGCUCAAGGCAGCAGGAAGCAUUCCUGCUUUGUAGCCUUGUCUCUGUCUGGUCCUCCUCCUGUGUCUGGUCUCUGCGCUGGUCCAGUCUGCUCCCACAGUGCCUGGCAGCCUCACCUCUCAGAGUUACUGGCAUUUAACUCUAAACCCUCAGUACAUGACAGAGUUCCCCCAGGAGGCUUUAAAAAUCCUGGUUUGGGUCCCUUUCCAGACCGGUUAAUCAGAAUCUCUGGUGGGGGUCCAGGCCUUGUAUUUUUCGAGCCUCCUCAUUGAUAGGUAGAUAGCAUCCAUUGUCUCUGACCUCUGCCUGCCUUGCCCAGGCCUUCCAGUUGAGUCCAGCAGUCGGUUCUCGAGGUGGGGCGUGCAACCUUCAUUUCGACGUUCCUGCCAGCAGGCUUUCCUCCACGCUUGAGGCGGGAACCGGCAGGGUCUGGCGAUCUUGCUCAUUACCAUGCACUUUCCAGACCCUGUUUUUAUUGUAUUUGAGCUAUGCUUGGAUUCUCUUUAUGUGGUAAAGGCAUUGGUUUGAGAGUUCUCACCACCUCAGGGAUAGCAGAUGAGGGACAAUUUUCACUAUUUCAAAGACUUGGAACUUUUGUAAGAAAGUACUCAGUUUAUUUAUUGUAGGCGAAAUAUUGUAGGAUAUCUCAUGCUGGCCAGAAGUGUUUGCUGGCAAUCUUACGAUUAUCAAAAGUGAUGAACCUGUAGUUACUGUUCAGUGCUCCGUAAGAGGACACCUGUCCUGUUGGCUUCUAGAUGUUUGCCCUUUUCUCCAGGACAGCAAGAAUGCCUACGUUGGGUUGCGGCCCUGGGGUGGAGUCUGAAUUACACAGGAUUGGUUAACCCUUUAGGGAAGAGAGUAGGUAGCUUAACUGGUGCACAAGGCCUCAGGAGUUUCACACCUGGACUCACUAGGAGAUGAAGCACCGGGAAGGGGCUGAGUGUUCAGAAGAUAGAUAUAUGGGCACCCCCCUCCUACCUGCGUUAGGGUUCCACGAGGUGGGACCUGUCGUGAUCCCCGAGGGUCCCUGGCUGAGGGAGGAAGGGCGUGGCAGUGCUAGUAAGGAGGCAGAACCUUCAGUGGUGGUUUCCAUGGGGGACCCUCAUCCCCUUGGCAGUAACCAGAGGGCGGCAUUGGUCUGAGGUAUACUAGUUAGGACUUUACGGGAGGCCCUUUUUUUGAGCGGUCAGAUCAUUCAUUUUGAACUCCCAUAUCUUGGCAACUAAACAAAGAACCCAUUAAUAAGACCUUCCCCUGAGCUUUGUUUUUUGUUUCUGCUGCCACCAUUCCCAUUUGAGGAGGAACGUGAGAACCGCUGCCCUGCUUGCAUGUGGUGGUUCCAUGGCAGUGAGACCGUUUCCUUCUUCUCUGCCAGGAGGGUAGGACUGGGGUAUGAGGCUGGUCUGGCUGGCAUGUACUUGCUUUGAGACUGGGCUUCCUCCUCUGCUCACUCCCUUCUAAAGAUGUUCCUCUGGGGGCGCCUGGGGGGCUCAGUCGGUUAAGUGUCCAACUCUUGGUUUCAGCUCGGGUCAUGAUCUCAUGGUUCGGGAGAUUGAGUCCCUUGUCAGGUUCUAUGCUGACAGUGCAGAUCCUGCUUGGGAUUCUCUGUCUCUCCCUUUCUAUCUGUCCCUCCUCCGCUUGUGUGCACAUGCUCUCUUUUUCAACAAUAAAUAAAUAAACCUUAAAAAAAAAAAAAAAAGAUUUUCUUCUGAAGGUGGUGCCGAUAUGCAUAACAAGACGAGAUAAAAUAAUGGUCUGGUGAAGCAUUAAAGGAAUUUUUGCCUUAAUUUUGCCACAUUCCACUUUCAGGCCGCAACCCUCUGUUUCAAGAAACCCUUGGGCUUAAGCCUCAUGUGCUGGUCCUCAACAAAAUGGACUUGGCGGAUCUGAAAGAGCAGCAGGUGAAGGUCCCUGUCCCGGGCACCUCCGGCACUAGGGUUGUGUCUAGGGUCACCCUUGCAAGCAGACUCUGUGUUGAUUCACUCAGGCAGGCUUGCUUUUUAGCAAACAACCCUUUGUUUGCGGAGGUAUUCCCGCCUGAUUUCUCAAAAUGACCUGCUUCCCUCUAAUAUUUAAUGUAUGGUCCAAAUGACCAGAGAGCGCACCUCCCAAAGGAAGUGGCCAGGCUUUGCUGCUGGAGCCAAGUGCCCCACAGGGUGGCCUCUGGCCCCAUGCGGCUCUGAGCGCUUGAGAUGUGGCUCCUGCUGCAGACACGAUACUCGUGUUUUAUUUCAUUUCAGUUAAUAAGUUUCUGUAGCUGUUUGAGGCUGGUGGCCAUAGGCACAGGCCACAGGUACUGACCUGGAGGUCUCCUGUGAUGGCUGCAUUUGGCCCAGGCACCCACACUGGCCAGUUCCAUGGCCUUCCAGACACCAAGUGCGCUGGAGGCCCAAAGUAAUGUCUUCAAAGCAGGCAGGAUCGGGGGACACAAGUGACCAAGUGCAGGGCAUGCCCAC
rnacentral:lncRNA from 1 species